rnacentral:lncRNA from 1 species
UACACAGCAAGACAAUUGGCUCUCGAUUUUAGAAACAUGAAAAUAGCCGACAUGAAUAAUACAAUUAGGAAAGAAGUGAGUGAUACGACUAGUUCUGCUUACACCGCUGCUACCGCUUUUACUGUUACUUCUACAGGUGCUACUACUGCCACUACAGGUGCUAGUACUGCUAGUACUGCUAGUACUGCUACUACUACCACUACUGCUACUACUGCUACUACUGCCACCACUGCUACUACUGCUACUACUGUCACUACUGCUACUACUGCUACUACUGCUACUACUACCACCACUGCUACUACUGCUACUACUGCCACUAUUGCCACUAUUGCCACUACUAACAAAAACGAGAUCAAAACUAAAUUUAUUAAAAAUAAGAUACGAAAUAAUGGGGAAAAAAAUAAUAGUAAAAUAAUACAACAAGAAGAGAUGUAUAAUAAUAAAAAAAAAAGAAAAAAAAAAUUAUCACAUGUUGAUAGUGGUAUUUCUAGUAAUACUAUGAAUGAAUUAACAACUUGUUCGAUUACACCCGAAAAAAAAAAAAAUAAAAAAAAUAUUAUAAGGAAAAAAAAUUACAAUAACAGAGUAGUAAAUAAAAAUGACGUUGAUAAAGAAGCUAACAUUGAUAAUUAUAAUAAAAAUAAUGUUACUGAUAUUUAUACGUAUGAUGGUAGGAAUGGUAUAUAUAAUGGUGGUAAUAACAAUAAUACUUAUAGUAAUGGUAGUACAAGUAAAAACAGCAAAAAAGUAAUGACAAAUAAAAACAAAAGAAACAAUGGCAAUAAAUGUUUGAAAACUAAUGUAACAGGUAGUAAAAACAGGAAGACAUAUUCCAAAAAGAAGGUUGAAACAAAUGAUUAUAACAAACUGGACAUGCAUGUGACAUAUGGUGGUAUCGUACGUCAACAAAAUAAAAUGGUCAACACAAAUCAUGACAAUUUGCAAAAAACAAAUAACUUUGUGGAAAAUGUAUUAGCUAGUAAAAAAGUAGCUUGUGAAUAUUUGGAUAAUGAAAAAUCAAAUAUUAUAUUAAUAAACAACAAUGGAAAUAAUUUAUUAACGGAUAAUGUCGAUUCUUUUAAAAAUAGAAAUAAUUAUGCACACCACCAAAUACAUAGCAAUACAUUUGUUAAUAAUAGAAUUUUCACUGAUAGUGUAAGCAAUUGCAACACACAAUUUAAUCCAAUACAUGUAGAUGAAAAUAAUUUUCCGUAUAAGUUAAAAAACUUAAAUAACAUGUGUGAUUUUGAAAUUACAAAAAAGAAUGUAUCUAAUAAUGGUACUUAUUUACAUUAUUCGAAUGUACA